GACAAAGUUACCAUACAUAUUUAAUCUUGACGGUCCUCGAAAUUGAAGCACCUUAAUAAGAAUCGAAAUGAAAAUGAGACUGAAACCGACCAUGAACUUAUUUUUUUGUGAAACUACUCCUUGUCGACUGCAGCACCACGUGGAUGCCGGUAUCGGUGUCUGAUGUGGUUUUGAAUAUAGACAUUAACUGAUGAAAGGCCAUGACCCUGCAGAUGUUAAUUGGUAUGAUGGAAGAAGUAAAAAUUUUUGCAGAACAAAUGUUUUGUUUGCAGUGUCCGUUUCAGAUACAUCAGGUGAAGCAAAAUAUGGAGUAGGCUAAGGCAGUGUAUUCAGCAUUCUUGUGGAAAUAAUGUGGCCAUUCAAAUCAAGUGUCAGCUGGAAAGAGGAAUAUCAAGGGUGCUUUUUACAUUAACUUCAAAGUAGCCAUUGGAAAAUUCAAGACAGAUCUGCUACAGUAACUGUACAUAAAGUAGCAUACAUGUGUGACAGGAAAGGAGGAAAAUGUAUGGCUGGACCGAGAUUCUAACCUGGGACCCCUGCAUCACU